AGUGAACGCUGGCGGUAGGCCUAACACAUGCAAGUCGAACGGCAGCACAGUAAGAGCUUGCUCUUACGGGUGGCGAGUGGCGGACGGGUGAGGAAUACAUCGGAAUCUACUUUUUCGUGGGGGAUAACGUAGGGAAACUUACGCUAAUACCGCAUACGACCUACGGGUGAAAGCAGGGGAUCUUCGGACCUUGCGCGAUUGAAUGAGCCGAUGUCGGAUCAGCUAGUUGGCGGGGUAAAGGCCCACCAAGGCGACGAUCCGUAGCUGGUCUGAGAGGAUGAUCAGCCACACUGGAACUGAGACACGGUCCAGACUCCUACGGGAGGCAGCAGUGGGGAAUAUUGGACAAUGGGCGCAAGCCUGAUCCAGCCAUACCGCGUGAGUGAAGAAGGCCUUCGGGUUGUAAAGCCCUUUUGUUGGGAAAGAAAAGCAGCAGGUUAAUACCCCGCUGUUCUGACGGUACCCAAAGAAUAAGCACCGGCUAACUUCGUG
rnacentral:rRNA from 1 species